GAUGAACGCUAGCGGCAGGCUUAAUACAUGCAAGUCGAGGGGCAGCAUGAUUGUAGCAAUACAAUUGAUGGCGACCGGCAAACGGGUGCGGAACACGUACACAACCUUCCAAUAAGUGGGGAAUAGCCCAGAGAAAUUUGGAUUAAUACCCCGUAACAUAACGAUGUGGCAUCACAUUGUUAUUAUAGAUUUUUCGCUUAUUGAUGGGUGUGCGGCUGAUUAGAUAGUUGGCGGGGUAACGGCCCACCAAGUCUACGAUCAGUAGCUGAUGUGAGAGCCUGCUGAGCCGCACGGGCACUGAGACACGGGCCCGACUCCUACGGGAGGCAGCAGUAAGGAAUAUUGGACAAUGGACGCAAGUCUGAUCCAGCCAUGCCGCGUGAAGGAUUAAGGUCCUCUGGAUUGUAAACUUCUUUUAUAAGGGACGAGAAGAGGCUUUUCUAAGUCGUCUGACGGUACCUUAUGAAUAAGCACCGGCUAACUCCGUGCCAGCCGCCGCGGUAAUAC
rnacentral:rRNA from 1 species